rnacentral:rRNA from 1 species
CUUCUUAGAGGGACUAUCGGUGUUUAACCGAUGGAAGUUUGAGGCAAUAACAGGUCUGUGAUGCCMUUAGAUGUUCUGGGCCGCACGCGCGCUACACUGAUGAAGUCAACGAGUUCAUUUCCUUUAUCGGAAGAUAUGGGUAAUCUUUUGAAACUUCAUCGUGAUGGGGAUAGAGCAUUGCAAUUAUUGCUCUUGAACGAGGAAUCCCUAGUAAGCACAAGUCRCUAGCUUGUGCUGAUUACGUCCCUGCCCUUUGUACACACCGCCCGUCGCUACUACCGAUUGAAUGGCUUAGUGAGGC